rnacentral:lncRNA from 1 species
AUCAACUGAAAUGAUUAUUAUGUGGUUUCUUUCCUUAUAUAAGUUUAUUUAUAUACUUACUGAUUUUUUAUAUGUUGAACUAAUGAAUCUUGCUUUUCAGCCCAUUUGGUCACAGUGGAAUUGUUCUCUUGCAUAGCCUUAUCUGUUAAUAAUGUCAUGUGUUUUUCAUUUGAUUAACCAUCUCCUUCAUUUCAAGUUCCCUUCCUUCAUUUUCCUUUUGUUUUUUUUUUAAUAAAAAAAACCUUGUAUUUACUUAGAAGCAUUCAGAAUGUCAACAAAACAGCUGCAAUUUUUUUUUUUUUUUUUGCAAUUACAGAGUGGUAUUCAGUUAACCGAACAACAAUUAUCUUCAUAUAAGCUGCAUCAGAGACAACUGAAGAUGAGAAAAAUAAAACCAAAAGAAAAAAAAACAAAAAACAAAAAAACCCAAAAGCCAAACUACUGUUCCCAUAUAUAACUAAUUUGUGCUGUGCACCACAAGAACCUGCUUUAAAUUUCUGUGCCAAUUUACAACCCCCAGACUAUACCAGCCAAGGUUAGUGGCUAUUGAAAAUACCACCGGGACAGGGCAUCUAAAGACACAUUCGGUAGUGUGUUAACUAUACUGAAAGGACACUGUACAGUUUAAAAACAAAUCUUACACAGCCUUACAUUUCAAGUUUUUUCUUUAAAAGGAGUGAGUACAGGGGGGGUUAAAUGCUUUAUAGCCAAGGAAAAAAAACUGCUAGAACCAACUUAUUCAUCAUCUUCUUCUUCAUCUUCCUCUUCUUCCUCAUCCUCAUCUUCCUUCUUUUUCUUGCUCUUUUCAGCCUUGACCACCCAUCUUUUUUGCUGCAUCAGGUUUUCCUUUAGCUCUGGAGGCAGCAAUAUCCUUCUCGUAUUUCUCCUUCAGCUUGGCAGCCUUCUUCUCUUAGGGCUGCUUGUCAUCCGCUGCAGGGUUGUUCCACAUCUCUCCUAGUUUCUUUGCAACAUCACCAAUGGAUAAGCCAGGAUGCUCACCUUUGAUUUGGGGGCGGUACUCAGAACAGAACAAGAAGGCUGAGAGAGGCCUCUUGGGUGCAUUGGGGUCCUUGAACUUCUUUUUGGUCUCCCCUUUGGAGGGGUGUAGGUUCUCAUUUCUCUUUCAUAACCAGCCUUGUCAGCCUUUGCCAUAUCUUCAAAUUUCCCCUUUUUCUUUAGCAGACAUGGUCUUCCACCUCUCUGGGGACUUCUUGGAGAGCUCUGAGAAGUUGACAGAAGCAUCCGGGUGCUGCUUCUUGUGCUCCUCCCGGCAGAUUUACACAAAGAAUGCAUAUGAGGACAUUUUGCCUCUCGGCUUCUUAGGAUCUCCUUUGCCCAUGUUUAGUUGAUUUUCCUCUGCGAGGCACAGAGUUGCUCAGUGCCUGUCUGGCUCGCGCUUGCCCUGGUGCUGUCUCUAUGGAGCUCAAUGUAUUGCAAUGGCUGUCUUGAUUGUUUUUCAAUGUUUCAAUCUCCUUGCUAAUUUUUUCCUCCACAUUUUAGAGUUUCACCUUCAAUUUAGUAACUUAACAUCACUUUGGAGACUGCCUUAUGAAAUGCUUGCAUAGAUUUUCUUAGUUUGUACAUCCUUUGUUUGAAUUUUCUAUGUCAUUGAUUCUUUAC